UGCGUCGCUGGACCUGCGUUUGGUCGUCGC
rnacentral:sRNA from 1 species